ensembl:lncRNA
GGCAGGAUGUACUUGGGCUGGGACUCAAUUCAGCUGCUCACACACAGGCAUCUAUUACCAUCUGAGAUCCCCUCGGAAGUCCAAGAAGCACACAAGGCUGGAAGACAUGGCACACAGAGCCUCUGCGAGCAGUUAGUUGUGUCCUGGCCUCCUCAGCUGGCUGUAGGGAUCAACCUUCCUACUCAUAGGCUUCCAUGGCCAUGCAAAAAUCUUUUUUGAAGCUCCUCUUUGAGUUCCCUGUGGCAAGAAACAGCUGUUUCUGUUCUAAACUCGGCUCCUCAUGCUCUCAGGCCAAUCAUGUCAAUCUGGUGGAGUAAAGGUCUAAAGGAAGUCAGACCAAUGUAACUGUGUGGACACCCGCUUUGUUAAAAGGAUGGGAAAACCUUCUCCCUGGAGAUCUUAGACAAAAAAAAAUUGAUGGUUGAUAGAUUUCAUAUGGAACAUACAACAAAAACCUCAAGGUGCUACAAAUUUCUUCUUCUUGUUGAGGCUGACAUUGGGAUCAGGAUUUACCCAGUCCCCUGGCAACUCUUACCAGCAAGAGCUGCCUUCCUCCUGCUCCCUAGAGGACCUGAAGACCUUGCUUAUAAAACUACCCACCAAAUGACAAAAAAAUAAUUUGCCCACCAUGAGGCAGGGAGAGACUGCAGUGAGGCGGUGACAAGAACUGCAAUACAUUCAG